rnacentral:lncRNA from 1 species
CCCGCACCUGACCUUUCUGGUCCCUGGAGCAAGGUCGGGGAACAAGGAACAAGGUCCUGGUGCAGGAAAAUUCAUUUGCAGAGCUGGUAAGCCCAUCUGGCCUGCACGGUGUCGCACCGCUCCUUCCCCCACCCGGCGUGGGUGCCCUCCUCCCUCUGGGCUGCUGGGACACGCUAGAAUCACAGUGGGCGCAGCGUCACCGUGUCCCAGUGCGCAGCCCCUCCGCGGGGUCACUGAGACCAGAAAAGCGAAACUUGUUGCUUCCGAUGUUGGAUAAAUGAUUCCGCUCCAGGAAGUGUCGCGGAGCUUGAAAAGCAUCACCCUAAGGUACUAUUUGCUAAACCAGGCAACUAAAAGGGACUCCCGCUUCCCGGCCCCCCAGAUCUUCCCCCAGAGAAUCUUUAAGUACCUAAAAAGCAGUCUGCCAACCCCAGCGCUUCUGUUCCAGGAUGCCCGAUAGUCUAGGAUGCCCAGAAAGGUCCUGCCCGGUAGACCCAGUCUUUCCACUGGUCACAGCUACCACAGCGAUGCAGACGGAGUGGAAAGGAUUGUGGAGAAGUCUCAGACCAGAGAGGCGCGUCUCUGAACCGAGCAGCUGCGCAGGUCCAGAGGGCCCUGCACCCUCUUUUCGUGGUCACGCAGCAAAGACAUUUACGGCGAGAACAGGCUGUAUUACACAAGGUAGUUCUGACACCAAAGUCUUGCAAAUUAAAGUUAAUUUAAAAUGUUUCUAAAUGUUCUUUCAUUUGGCUGGGCGUCAGUGUGUGCUCCAAUCUUAACUUAAACUUACGCCCUCUUUCGGC